GAGGAAAAGAAACUAACAAGGAUUCCCCUAGUAACUGCGAGUGAAGCGGGAAAAGCUCAAAUUUAAAAUCUGGUAGUCUUUGGCUGCCCGAGUUGUAAUCUAGAGAAGCGUUAUCCGCGCUGGACCGUGUAUAAGUCUCCUGGAAUGGAGCGUCAUAGAGGGUGAGAAUCCCGUCUUUGACACGGACUCCCAGGGCUUUGUGAUGCGCUCUCAAAGAGUCGAGUUGUUUGGGAAUGCAGCUCUAAAUGGGUGGUAAAUUCCAUCUAAAGCUAAAUAUUGGCGAGAGACCGAUAGCGAACAAGUACCGUGAGGGAAAGAUGAAAAGAACUUUGGAAAGAGAGUUAAACAGUACGUGAAAUUGUUGAAAGGGAAACGCUUGAAGUCAGUCGCGUUGGCCAGGGAUCAACCUUGCUUUUGCUUGGUGUACUUCCUGGUUAAUGGGUCAGCAUCAAUUUUGACCAGUGGAAAAAGGUCAGGGGAAUGUGGCAUCUUCGGAUGUGUUAUAGCCUCUGAUUGUAUACAUUGGUUGGGAUUGAGGAACUCAGCACGCCGCAAGGCCGGGUUUUACCACGUUC
rnacentral:rRNA from 1 species